UACCUGACCACUGGCCACACUGGCUGGAGCUGAUGGAAGACGGAGUCCAACAAUGUCUGGAGGGUCAUGGAGUCCCCAUCCUUGCUAUAUAUGGGAGCUGAACUCAACUGCCUUAUUCCACAUGAACCUGGCCAUCAACUGAGAUCUGCUUUUGAGACCCUUCUCUGGGUUUCCCCCUUUGAAGGCUAGGCAAGUAGCAGUGGGUUACAGGGCCUUUUCUGUGGUAGCAUCCACCCAAGCUCCUUCCCCAAAAUUCAUCAGCACUUCAUUUUCUAUCUUUUAGGUACCAGCCCAAGCCCAUCCUGUUCUCUUGUGCUUUUAAUGACUUUAAUAAACAGUAUUUGAGGUCCUUUUAAAAAAAAUAUUUCUGCAAUUUAAUAAUUGCUUCAUCUGGGUUGUAAUAUCCUAGUCUUCAUGUUUGUCCAUUCUGUGAAGGACUGAACUAGACAUGCCAUUCAAUUGCCCCAAUGGGAAUUUCCCUUGGAAUGCAAAUAGCAGGUUUGGAGAAGUGAUUUUUGCAGUGCUGGUAGGAAGAGAAAUAGGUUUAGAACAACAGCAACACUGUUUAACCCCAAGGGUCCAAGGUGCUCAGGCUUCCUUGUGGCUGCUUAUUUAUAUAACAAAAAACUUGCACACUAAGUUGCAUCUAGUUGGCCCCAAGGUGAACUACUUUGAGGAAUCAGAUUCCUGAUCAGCUGCACCUGCUGAAUUUUCUUCCUGUGCAUAACUACUUAAAGGUGCAGGAGUCUUGUCUUCUGGCACAGGGCCACCCUUAACUGUUGCACAUAUACCAAAGCAAAAUUUCACUGGAGAACAAUGGCAGCGGUUGACUCACAUCCGUUUUGAGGAAUCCCGAAUCUCAGACUUGAAUCUGUUUAGCAAAUUUGCACUUGGAUUUCAUUACUCUAAUCUCUUUCGGUUUCAUGGAACUGGGCUGUUUCCAGCUAAGCACCGCUUGACUCAAUGUAGAUUCACCCCUGGCAGAGAUUCACUUCUGUUUUUGUUACAGGUAACAAGGAAAGACGGGAAACCGACAAGGUGUGGCAUUCUGGAAUUCUGUCUACAGAUACAAAUGGAGCAAGGAGGUGGGGAAGAUACUGUUGUGGUUUUUUAAAAAAAAUAA